rnacentral:rRNA from 1 species
GAUGAACGCUGGCGGCGUGCCUAAUACAUGCAAGUCGAGCGAACAGACGAGGAGCUUGCUCCGCUGACGUUAGCGGCGCACGUGUGAGUAACACGUGGAAAACCUACCUAUAAGACUGAUAUCACUUCGGGAAACCGGAGAUAAUACGGGAUAAUAUAUUGCACCGCAUUGUUCGAUGGAGAGAGACGGUUUUUGUGUCACUUAUAGAUGGAUCUGCGCCGCAUUGUCUGGUUGGUAAGGUAACGGCUUACGACGGCGAGGAUGCGUAUCAGACCUGAGGGGGUGGGCAGCCACCCUGGAAGUGUGACACGGUCCAGACUCCCACGGGAGGCGGCAGGAGGGAAUCUGGCGCAAUGGGCGAAAGACUGACGGAGCAACGCCGCGGGAGGGAUGAGGAUCUUCGGAUCGGAAAACUCGGUUUUUAGGGAGGAACAAACUUGUAAGUAACUAUGCACGUCUUUACGGGACCUGAGCAGAAAGGCACGGCUAACUACGUG